rnacentral:tRNA from 1 species
GGGCGGAUGUAGCCAAGUGGAUUAAGGCGGUGGAUUGUGAAUCCACAUGGCCCCG